AGAGUUUGAUCCUGGCUCAGGACGAACGCUGGCGGCGUGCCUAACACAUGCAAGUCGAGCGACGAAGUUCCUUCGGGAAACGGAUUAGCGGCGGACGGGUGAGUAACACGUGGGUAACCUGCCUUAUAGUGGGGGAUAGCCUUUCGAAAGGAAGAUUAAUACCGCAUAAGAUUGUAGUAUCGCAUGGUAUAGCAAUUAAAGGAGCAAUUCGCUAUAAGAUGGACCCGCGUCGCAUUAGCUAGUUGGUGAGGUAAUGGCUCACCAAGGCGACGAUGCGUAGCCGACCUGAGAGGGUGAUCGGCCACAUUGGGACUGAGACACGGCCCAGACUCCUACGGGAGGCAGCAGGGGGGAAUAUUGCACAAUGGGCGAAAGCCUGAUGCAGCAACGCCGCGUGAGUGAUGACGGCCUUCGGGUUGUAAAACUCUGUCUUCAGGGACGAUAAUGACGGUACCUGAGG
rnacentral:rRNA from 1 species